AUUGAACGCUGGCGGCAUGCUUUACACAUGCAAGUCGAACGGCAGCGCGGGCUUCGGCCUGGCGGCGAGUGGCGAACGGGUGAGUAAUAUAUCGGAACGUACCCAAGAGUGGGGGAUAACGUAGCGAAAGUUACGCUAAUACCGCAUACGAUCUCAGGAUGAAAGCAGGGGACCGCAAGGCCCUGGUCUCCUGGAGCGGCCGAUAUCUGGUUAGCUAGUUGGUGAGGUAAAGGCUCACCAAGGCAACGAUCAGUAGCUGGUCUGAGAGGACGACCAGCCACACUGGAACUGAGACACGGUCCAGACUCCUACGGGAGGCAGCAGUGGGGAAUUUUGGACAAUGGGGGCAACCCUGAUCCAGCAAUGCCGCGUGAGUGAAGAAGGCCUUCGGGUUGUAAAGCUCUUUUGUCAGGGAAGAAAAGGGAGUGGCUAAUAUCCAUUCCUGCUGACGGUACCUGAAGAAUAAGCACCGGCUAACUACGUGCCAGCCGCCGCAGUAAGAC
rnacentral:rRNA from 1 species